rnacentral:ncRNA from 13 species
GGCACUAUAGCCAAGGUGGCUAAGGCAUGGGACUGCAACUCCCCGAUCGUCGGUUCGAAUCCGACUAGUGCCU